rnacentral:tRNA from 1 species
GAGGUUGUAGCUCAGCUGGGAGAGCGCUACCCUGACACGGUAGAGGUCAUCGGUUCAAGCCCGGUCAGCCUCACCA